GAAAUGAAAGAUUUCACUUGAGUUAGUUGUGGAGAAAAUUAAGAGAAAGGUGAGAGAAAAUGGCUUAGUUGUCUAGAGAGAAUGAAAAAGUGCUAAAUAAAUGAGCCAAAAUAGUUUUUUACUUAAAAAAAGUUUUCUCUACAGCAUUUCACAUGAAAGAAAUCUAAACAAGUCAAGAAUGCUAAAAAAGUAACGACUGUUAUGACCAUUACAUAACGGUCAGCAACGGUCGUUACCUUUAAAUAACGCUGGUAAUGGCCUUUAUAAUUAUAAAUUUAAAAAUUUGAUAAUAACAGUAACGAUAAGUAAAAAAGCUUUAUAUAACGGCAGUUAUUAAAACCAUGGUGUCAAUAUUUCAAAAUAAAGAGUUCCACUAUGCAAUAAAGAAUGCAGUACAAAAUUCCAGCAACUUUUGAGCCAAUCAACAAACUAUAACUCAUAAAAUAUAGAAACUAGCUGCUCCUGCAGAAUAUAUAAUAGCAUAAUUCAAAUGGUAAAAUAACAUUCAGACUUGAUUUGAUAGAGAUAAACAUAAUCUUACACUUGAGUGAUCU
rnacentral:misc_RNA from 1 species